rnacentral:rRNA from 1 species
CCUGGUGUUCAUCGCGAUGUGGACCCACUCCGAUCCAUCCCGAACUCGGUUGUGAAACGCAUCAGCGGCGACGAUAUUUGGGGGGAAGCCCCCUGAGAAAAUAGCUCAAUGCCAGGU